rnacentral:rRNA from 1 species
UACGUAGGGGGCUGGCGUUGUCCGGAAUCAUUGGGCGUAAAGCGCGCGUAGGUGGCCCUGUAAGUCCGUUGUGAAAGUCAAAGGCUCAACCUUUGAAAGCCGAUGGAUACUGCAGGGCUAGAGUACGGAAGAGGCGAGUGGAAUUCCUGGUGUAGCGGUGGAAUGCGCAGAUAUCAGGAGGAACACCAAUAGCGAAGGCAGCUCGCUGGGACGUUACUGACACUGAGGCGCGAAAGCGUGGGGAGCGAACAGG